UGGAGAAAGCUGGAGCCUUCACCUCCAAAAACUUUUCCAUGUUCUGAGUGCGGUGAUGGACAGCGAGAGAGGGAGUUGCUGCCUUGCAAAGUGCUGGUGAAGAUUUCUGCUGCGGUUGCAGGAUGAGCUUUUGGGGGAUGGAGAUGAGGACAGGCUGUGCUUGGACAGCUCAUUCUGCCCCUACAGCAAAUUGUGCCCCACAGCUGCAGCCAGCAGGCUGGAGAUCUCCAUGCCAGCUGUGGUGGAGGUGGAGAUCAGGGGCACAGCCAGGAUCGAGUGCAGCUCCUACAUCCCUGAAGAUGUUUCCUAAACCUACAUAGACUGGUUCUAGGCUCACCCCUCACCUUGCAGGUGACACAGCAACAAGCAGGUGAGGCUGUACCACAGCAGGGUCCUGGAAGACAACACUGGCCACAA